AUAAAAUUUGAAAAAUAAAAGUAGAAAGAGAAACACUAGCCAUGGUCUCUUUACCUGGUAUAAUCCCUUUCGACCUUUUAAUGUUUUUUUAAUGGUCCCAGCUGACUGUUUUUUCUAUUCUUUCCAGCUGUCCUUCUACUCUAGAAUAUAUCCAGGUUGGGCCAGUCCUUUGGAUCCAGUUUUUCUUGAUAUCUAGUUAAUGAAGAUACUGGAGGGGAAAUGCUGAGUGAUCUUCAAACAGUAACUUUCCAAAAGCCAAGAGUAAUACCAAGAUCUCCAAGAAAGCAGCUGGGUUCAGAAGGCCGGGCACGGUGGCUCAUGCCUGUCAUCCCAGCACUUUGGGAGGCAGAGGCGGGCGGAUCACAAGGUCAGGAGUUCAAGACCAGCCUGACCAACAUGGUGAAACCCUGUUUCUACUAAAAAUACAAAAAUGAGCUGGGCGUGGUGGUGUAUGCCUGUAAUCCCAGCUACUCAGGAGGCUGAGGUAGGAGAAUCGCUUGAACCCGGGAGGCAGAGGUUGCAGUGAGCCAAGAUCGUGCCACUGCACUCCAGCCCGGGCAACAGAGUAAGACUCAGUCUCAAAAAAAAAAAAAAAAAAAAAAAAAAAAAAGCAGCUGGGUUCAGUGUUCUGUUGUUGACCCUUGUUUGGGGUUCCUCUGGUUGGCUGGCUACCAUGCAUGUCGUGUGUUGCUUAUAUCAGAAGGUGAGGGUUCUGUGUGGUGUAGAUGCUGUCGGUUAGCCGGCCUUGCUUCUCACAAGGGGCGUUUCUGGGGAGAACGCUGGGGUCUGUGUGGGCUCAAGGAGGAUCCCGUCUCCCCUUAUGUUUCUGGUACAGGAUCAGAUGUGGCCGCCCAGCAGUUGUGCACAUGGGAGGAGAAGGGGCCAGGUGGGAAAAGGGAGCAAGAGGCAGGAAAGAGCACAGACUUCGACGUUCAGACCUGGGUUCCCGUCCAGUUCCAUUCCUUGCACAGGGAAUCCCUGACAUCGUCAUCCGUCUCCUGUGCCUUUCCGCUGGGUCAGCCUCCUCCCACCAAGCUUCUGACCCACUGUCAUCCGCAGCUGCCACUCUAGCUGCAGAGCUCGACUGGGCUCUGGUUUCUCAGAAGAGCUCAGAGGACCUGGCUCCUCCCUCUUUGCUUCUGAACUGCAUUUCUUUCCUCAUUACUCAGUGUCCGCACCCACGGUGGCUGCCUGGAUAAAAAUCUGCCCCUUUCUCCCGUCACCUUUCAUGCCAGACAAAAGCCCCAGUGAGUAAUGGUGACCUACCCAGGUCCAGCUAGCAGCUCUCCAUUCCUGAGUGGCCUGGGGCAGAACAGGGUCCUGCGAGCUCCUGGAUCCCAAGUCUGAUUCCCUUUCCCUGUCUUCCCGCUUAUCUACUAAGCUUGUUUAUUGGGUAGCACUAAGCAAAGUGAAUGAUUAUUCCUGUCUUUAACGAGGAGGGGUGGAGUUCCCUCUCCAUCUUCACCCACUUCUGGGAGGCUUUCAGGGACUCAACACCCCACACUGAUAGCACUUCCCCAGGCCUGGCCCAGCCAGCCAAAGAGGAGGACCAGGCCACUUCUCAACCCAGCUGAUGCUUGGCAGCUUUGUGACCUUGGAUACACCUUCUCUUGGGAGGUCAGACCCCGUGAUCCCAGCUCUUCCAGCUAUGACAUCAUGUGAGGCUGCAAUUUUUUUUUUUUUUUUUUGAGACAGUAUCUUGCUAUGUUGCCCAGGCUGGCCUUGAAAUCCUGGGCUCAGGCGAUUCUCCUGUCUCAGCCUCCCACGUAGCUGGAACUUAGGGCGUGAGCCACCGCGCCCAGCUUCUGGAAAGGACAUGAAUGGGGAGGUGGAACUUGAUUGGGCCUGUUCUGUGAGUUCAGGAGAGGUCCUCUGACAGCUCACUUGGGGUGGGGAAAGGAGGUAAAGAGUCCUGUGGAAACUUUGGGCUCUGGGGACCCCAUUUCACUGAUGAUUGAAUGGGUCCACCUCUGUCAAAGGAAUUCAGAGUCCCGCUCAUCAUUCAGACUGGGGGAAUCAGGCUCAGUUGACUGGCCCAGCCUUAAAUCCACUGAAUUUCUUUUUAUCUCUACAUAGAAAAACGGGAUUACAGUUGCUUCUCACUGUCCAAUGGGGAUUGGUUCCUGGAGCCCCCCCGAAUACCCGUCCAUGGAUGAUGCUCAAAUCCCUUACAUGUAACCUAUGCACAUCCUCACGUAUCCUUUAACUCAUCUCUGUGCUACUCAAAUACCUCAUACCAUGUAAAUGCUGUGUAAAUAGUUCUUGUGCUGUGUUGGUUUUUAAAUUUGUAUUAUUUUUUCUUGUAUAUUUUUCAUUAUUUUUUUCCUGAAUAUUUUUGAUCCACGGUUAGUUGCCUCCAUGGGUGCGGACCCACAGACACGGAGGCUGCACCUUCUCAAAUGAGCAUGGCGGCGCCCUCUGGGUCCUCGUGUCAUCCUGUCUCUGGUGCUGCGUCCAGCAGGGCGGCGAACAGCAGAACUAAUCUUUUGCAAGUGAUCACAGUGGAGUGGAGUUCCGCUCUGUUUCCUUUUGCCCCGCUCUGGCUUACCAGAGGUCCCCUGGCCUCGGCCACAGCAUACCUAGCCUAGUGCUUGGCACCUCAGGCACACAAUAAAUAUUUAUGAAAUGGAUCUUGUCUGGU
rnacentral:sRNA from 1 species